UAGGGAAUCUUCGGCAAUGGGGGCAACCCUGACCGAGCAACGCCGCGUGAGUGAAGAAGGUUUUCGGAUCGUAAAGCUCUGUUGUAAGUCAAGAACGGGUGUGAGAGUGGAAAGUUCACACUGUGACGGUAGCUUACCAGAAAGGGACGGCUAACUACGUGCCAGCAGCCGCGGUAAUACGUAGGUCCCGAGCGUUGUCCGGAUUUAUUGGGCGUAAAGCGAGCGCAGGCGGUUUGAUAAGUCUGAAGUUAAAGGCUGUGGCUCAACCAUAGUUCGCUUUGGAAACUGUCAAACUUGAGUGCAGAAGGGGAGAGUGGAAUUCCAUGUGUAGCGGUGAAAUGCGUAGAUAUAUGGAGGAACACCGGUGGCGAAAGCGGCUCUCUGGUCUGUAACUGACGCUGAGGCUCGAAAGCGUGGGGAGCGAACAGGAUUAGAUACCCUGGUAGUCCACGCCGUAAACGAUGAGUGCUAGGUGUUGGAUCCUUUCCGGGAUUCAGUGCCGCAGCUAACGCAUUAAGCACUCCGCCUGGG
rnacentral:rRNA from 1 species